rnacentral:lncRNA from 1 species
CUGUUUUUCUAUUUCCCCCAUAGUUGCAGAUAGCAUAGAUGACUUCCCAGACCCAACCUGCCCUAUAACAGCUACCAACACUCCUUCUAAAGUCUUUAUGUUCAAGAUAUAUGACAAGAACAGAGAGAUGAUACAGAAAUUUCUUGUUAUAGUUGUAUUCUCACUUAGGUCCCUGUACACAGCACUGAAAUUGUUGCUUAUCAUUUUUUUCUGUAGAUACCUGGCCUGUCAAAAUACAAACAACCAAUGAACAAUCAAGUUCUACAUACUGGAAAUUACAGCAAAAUCACAAGAAUUGGCCCAACUUGGAUCAGGUGCCAAAGCUAUCCCUUUUGGACAGAAGUAGGAGAUGUCAUGGGCAUUCAUCUGGGCUUGUCUCAUGAACAUUCAGCUUCUUCAGCC